AUACGUAGGGGGCGAGCGUUGUCCGGAAUUACUGGGCGUAAAGGGUGCGUAGGUGGCACUUUAAGUUGGAUGUGAAAUCCCCGUGCUUAACAUGGGAGCUGCAUCCAAUACUGGAGAGCUAGAGUGCAGGAGAGGUAAGCGGAAUUCCUAGUGUAGCGGUGAAAUGCGUAGAUAUUAGGAGUAACACCAGUGGCGAAGGCGGCUUACCGGACUGUAACUGACACUGAGGCACGAAAGCGUGGGGAGCAAACAGGAUUAGAUACCCUGGUAGUCCACGCUGUAAACGAUGAAUACUAGGUGUAGGUGGUAUCAACUCCCUCUGUGCCGCAGCAAACGCAAUAAGUAUUCCGCCUGGGGAGUACGGCCGCAAGGUUGAAACUCAAAUGAAUUGACGGGG
rnacentral:rRNA from 1 species